AUUGAACGCUGGCGGCAGGCCUAACACAUGCAAGUCGAACGAGUGGCGGACGGGCGAGUAAUGCUUGGGAAUCUAGCUUAUGGAGGGGGAUAACUACGGGAAACUGUAGCUAAUACCGCGUACCACAGGAUGAGCCCAAGGGGGAUUAGGUAGGUGGUGAGGAAAAGGCUCAACAAGCCGACGAUCGCUAGCUGGUCUGAGAGGAUGACCAGCCACACUGGGACUGAGACACGGCCCAGACUCCUACGGGAGGCAGCAGUGGGGAAUAUUGCGCAAUGGGGGAAAGCUGACGCAGCCAUGCCGCGUGAGUGAAGAAGGCCUUCGGGUUGUAAAGUUCUUUCGGUAGCGAGGCGUUAACUACAGAAGAAGCACCGGCUAACUCCGUGCCAGCAGCCGCGGUAAUUC
rnacentral:rRNA from 1 species